UCUACGGGGGGCAGCAGUGAGGAAUAUUGGUCAAUGGGCGCGAGCCUGAACCAGCCAAGUAGCGUGAAGGAUGACUGCCCUACGGGUUGUAAACUUCUUUUAUAAAGGAAUAAAGUGCGGCACGUGUGCCUUUUUGUAUGUACUUUAUGAAUAAGGAUCGGCUAACUCCGUGCCAGCAGCCGCGGUAAUACGGAGGAUCCGAGCGUUAUCCGGAUUUAUUGGGUUUAAAGGGAGCGUAGAUGGGUUGUUAAGUGUGUUGUGAAAGUUUGCGGCUCAACCGUACAAUUGCAAUUGAUACUGGCGGUCUUGAGUACAGUUGAGGUAGGCGGAAUUCGUGGUGUAGCGGUGAAAUGCUUAGAUAUCACGAAGAACUCCGAUUGCGAAGGCAGCUUACGAAACUGCCACUGACAUUGAUGCUCGAAAGUGUGGGUAUCAAACAGGAUUAGAUACCCGGGUAGUC
rnacentral:rRNA from 1 species